rnacentral:sRNA from 1 species
CAACAGUGGUGGAGUAUACCUCAGAAGCAAGACCUGCCACAGGGAAGGUUUCUAAAUCUGUUCUUGCACUACUCCUGAUCACAUAGUCCACCACUCUCGAAACAAAACUGGAGACACGGGAUGUUCGAAAAUCUGCUUCAGAAGCACAACUACUUCUCAAUGCAUAGUCCACCACCGAAGAAAAACUAUGGGGAGGAGAUGCUCCGAAACCUGAGGCAGUCUCACUCCUUAUGGCACUGUCCACAGCCGAACAAAAACUUGUUGCAUCACCCAU